rnacentral:ribozyme from 1 species
UGCCCAGCAACUCCUGUCCCUACUUCCUCGUGGUACUGGCCGGGGUACGAGUAACCUUGGGGAAGAUCGGGUAACCAACCCCCGGUGGGAACUUUGGUCGUAUGCUGACAGGGAAGG